rnacentral:rRNA from 1 species
GAUGAACGCUGGCGGCGUGCUUAACACAUGCAAGUCGAACGGAAAGGCUCCUGCUUGCAGGGGUACUCGAGUGGCGAACGGGUGAGUAACACGUGGGUGAUCUGCCCUGCACUUCGGGAUAAGCCUGGGAAACUGGGUCUAAUACCGGAUAGGACGAUGGUUUGGAUGCCAUUGUGGAAAGUUUUUCGGUGUGGGUUGAGCUCGCGGCCUAUCAGCUUGUUGGUGGGGUAAUGGCCUACCAAGGCGUCGACGGGUAGCCGGCCUGAGAGGGUGUACGGCCACAUUGGGAAUGAGAUACGGCCCAGACUCCUACGGGAGGCAGCAGUGGGGAAUAGUGCACAAUGGGCGCAAGCCUGAUGCAGCGACGCCGCGUGGGGGAUGACGGCCUUCGGGUUGUAAACUCCUUUCGCUAGGGACGAAGCGCAAGUGACGGUACCUGGAGAAGAAGCACCGGCUAACUACGUG